rnacentral:ribozyme from 1 species
AGAGCACUAUACCAACUCCACGGACUGCGCCGAUAUCACGGAGAUCCCCGUCUGCCCAACAUCAUUCGGCACAAUGGAAAUUUGCUGUGGAUCGACUUCAUGCGAAUUAACCUCGAAACCCCCACUGCGGCCGAUUUUCCUGAAUUCGUGAAGCAUGAUGUUAAAAUUUUACU